rnacentral:rRNA from 1 species
GAUGAACGCUGGCGGCGUGCCUAAUACAUGCAAGUCGAGCGAACAGAUGAGGAGCUUGCUCCUCUGACGUUAGCGGCGGACGGGUGAGUAACACGUGGAUAACCUACCUAUAAGACUGGGAUAACUUCGGGAAACCGGAGCUAAUACCGGAUAAUAUAUUGAACCGCAUGGUUCAAUAGUGAAAGACGGUUUUGCUGUCACUUAUAGAUGGAUCCGCGCCGCAUUAGCUAGUUGGUAAGGUAACGGCUUACCAAGGCAACGAUGCGUAGCCGACCUGAGAGGGUGAUCGGCCACACUGGAACUGAGACACGGUCCAGACUCCUACGGGAGGCAGCAGUAGGGAAUCUUCCGCAAUGGGCGAAAGCCUGACGGAGCAACGCCGCGUGAGUGAUGAAGGUCUUCGGAUCGUAAAACUCUGUUAUUAGGGAAGAACAAAUGUGUAAGUAACUAUGCACGUCUCGACGGUACCUAAUCAGAAAGCCACGGCCAACUACGUG